CUGAAGAAUUCCAAACUCAAAAUCCUUUACCCCUUAAGAAUUCCAAACUCAAAACACUGUACCCCUGAAGAAUUCCAAACUCAAAAUCCUUUACCCCUAAAGAAUUCCAAACUCAAAACACUGUACCCCUGAAGAAUUCCAAACUCAAAAUCCUUUACCCCUUAAAAAUUCCAAACUCAAAACACUGUACCCCUGAAGAAUUCCAAGCUCAAAACACUGUACCCCUGAAGAAUUCCAAACUCAAAACAUUUUACCCCUGAAGAGUUCCAAGCUCAAGACACUCUACCCCUGAAGAAUUCUAGGUAUCCUCGACAGGGGGGGGGUACGGAUAUUAAAUGGAAUAGCCCAAUUCGCCGUUAAGUUGCA